rnacentral:sRNA from 1 species
ACUAUUUGAAAUUCUACAGAUGGAGACUCUCAAAGGGUACUUUUCCCUUUAACUUUCUCUCUUUGUUUCUAAUUUUGUUUUUUAGUAGUUUUAAUUGUUCAGGGUUUGACUCAAACCGUUUGAGAGCUUGGUGUUUACUUGCAACCACAUUCUUGGAUUCUCUAACACAAGGUUGUAAGGCUGAAUAUCGUGUGAAUCAGAUAAGGAAUAACUAUUUUAACUUAUCUUGAAUCAAUAUACAAUUAUAUUAAUCGAAAUAAGCUAGAGAAAGGUUUAUUUGUCUGUGGUAUAAGCAGUGGCAUAAGUUGCUGGAAGAACUUGCACGAUAGAGUAAAACAAGAAUAUCAACUAGCCACGAACUCCUACUUCUUAAAGCACCGCAAUCCGUAGCUGUGAAAAAAUGUGAGAGAUCAAGUUCUAGAGAAAAACCAAAAGCUAAGCAAGAUUCAGAUUUGUGGAAGUAAAGCUUUUGCAUGAUAAUUCAAUAAAAUCAUAUUCAGAUCUAUCGCAAUGGAGCAUUAAAAUGGUCGUGCGUCAUAUUUGCCCAUUCGAGUCCAAAGUCAAGAUCUAUUUAGAGCAAUCAAAAUACACAUUUUGAAAAGAAGUCUUCUUUCAUCCUUGCACGGUGAAGAACAAAGACUCUGCUUCCCUUUCCAGGAUUCUUAUUCGUUUGGUUGUUGAAAGAUACCAAGAACUCUCAUCAAAACUAGAGUACAAUUUUCCAUUGAAGUAGCAAGAGUAGAUCUAUGGAGGUGCUUUCCAGGAUUUUGAAGUAACGUGAAGCUGAAUAUUGAAAAUAUGCAAAGACAAAAAGGCUCGAGCGGGAAUCAGGGAGGUUCACUUCCAUUGACUUACAUCGACAGCAGAAGGCAGUAGUCAAGGUGCUCUCCUGAUUAGGUGGUGCUAGAGAAAACGAAGGAAAGCCUAGGUGCAUGGUGCAACAUAUGGUAAUUUGUUGGAUUGUUGCCCCCAAGACAUGAAAGUACUGAAACCAUUGGAAGGGCUUUGACUCUCGGUGUUAACAUCAAGAUGAUCACUGAUAACCAGUUGUAAACUUGGAAUGGGAAUAAACAUGUAUCCAUCUUCGGCUUUUCUUGGUACGCACAAGUGGUAGGAACCAACAAACCCCAUGGAUGAAUAUGUCUCUCAAGUCUCAAUGGUUGUAAGUUUUGUCACGUAAGAGACAUGGAGAACAUACCUGGCAGAGAAUCAAGUGAAUUCCUCCAAAGAACUGAUCAGAUUAGAAAGAGCUAGUGUCUUGCGGCUGAAUAGAAUGGGAGAUAUGUAAAGGAAGGAACAAAUACUUUUGACAAACUAUUUAGGCCAUCGUCAAAGAUUUUGCAACAUACACAUCCAUUAAUUAGUAUUCAGUAGACAGUGGAAAGAAGUGUCUAAAGGAAACUUGAACCCAGAUGUCUGCAUAGAGACGUGUCUUUAUUCGGUGGAGCAUGGAAUUCUUCUCAUUGUAGAUCGCUGCUUGACAUUGUUUGACAAUCCACUGGUCGACUCUCUUCACACAACUUACAAUGAGCUCAAGCUUAAAAAUGGGUGUGUUCGGCAUUCUAAAUCAAUGUCACAAAGGAGACAAGCGGUAAGAACCACCAAACCCCAUUGACGAAGAUGGUCUCCUGGAAGAUUUGGCACGUAAGAGACGUAGAGAACAUACUUGUUGGAGCAUCAAAUGAUUUCCUCCAAAGAAAUUGAUUAGAUUGGGAAGACUAGUGUCUCGCGGCUGAAUAGGUAAGCAUGCUUGGAGCAUAACGGCUAGCGGCAAUGUCCAACUGCCAUUAGGAACAACCUGAAAAUCUACAUCGACCUCUUUGAUAGCGUGAUAUAGUCAUGUGUGCAUGCAUACAUUCAUAUGUGCAUACAUUCAUACAUCCAUACAUUCAUGCAUACAUUCAUACAUUCAUACAUUCAUACAUUCAUACAUCCAUACAUGCAUGCAUACAUUCAUACAUGCAUACAUUCAUACAUUCAUACAUCCAUACAUGCAUACAUUCAUAUAUACAUGCAUGCUUACAUUCAUGCAUGAAUCUAUGCAUAUUUGCUUUCUUGAUUUAUUGAUUGCUUAUUUACUUAUUUGAUUUCUUAACUAGCUUGCUUGUUUUUUUUUUCUCUCUGUUUACUUACAUUUAUAACUUGUUUACUUCUUGUUUGUUUCUUUGAUUAUUUGAUCGUUACUCACUCCAUAUUGCUUCAUUUCAUUUCUUAAUCUGUGUGUUUACUUCCUUCUUAUUCCCUUCAUUGUUUGCUCAGACCGUACAUGCAAUUCACUUGUUUACUUAUCGUCAAUUUCUUGAUUUCUUUGAUUAUUUGGCAGUCGCUUAUUCAACUGAUUCAUUCAUGGCUUAGCUCUUUCACAUGUUUCCUCUUUGAUUCUUUGUAUCUUUACUUCUGUAGUUGUUUUCUUACAUGCUUACUUUACUUGUUUUAUUGUUUCUUUCAUUUUUUUGUUUACUCACAUCAUUGUUUAUUUAUUUAUUUGCUUCUAUUUAGUUAUAUACUUCUUUCAUUGUGUAUAAAUUUUUUGAAUUUAUACAAAUGUACUCAUAUAAUUUUGACAACAAUAUGAAAAAUCGAAACACUAAUAAAUAUC